UACGGAGGGAGCUAGCGUUGUUCGGAAUUACUGGGCGUAAAGCGCGCGUAGGCGGGUUGGCAAGUCUGCUGUGAAAGCCCGGGGCUUAACUCCGGAGGGUCGGUGGAUACUGCCAGUCUUGAAGGUGCUAGGGAGAGAUGGAAUUACCGGUGUAGCGGUGAAAUGCGUAGAUAUCGGUAGGAACACCAGUGGCGAAGGCGGUCUCUUGGGGCAUUCUUGACGCUGAGGCGCGAAAGCUGGGGGAGCGAACGGG
rnacentral:rRNA from 1 species